CACAAGCAUAGUCUGCUGAAGGGCUCUGAACAUUAAGCUGCAUGCCUUGCUGAGUUUUAUUCCAAAUAGACAACAGCAGAUGGUAACAAUGCACUUCUCAUAGAUGGUAGGAGGGAGGCAGUCUUGUUUCAAGUAAUACUAUUUCUGGGCGAUAAUCCAAAAUGCGCAGUAGGCAGAAGUUAAAAGGAGGCGCUUGCUUUUAGGUUUUAAAAAUAUAUCCCUUAAUCCUGGGUGAUGAUUGACAAUCAUGAUUUAGAGUAUGAGGGGCCUCUCUUUAAUCCUGCAAGUUUGAUGUUAUUUGCGUAUCUAGUAGGGCUUUUAUUCAACUAAAACUAAGUGGAAGCCUGUGCAAUUGAUGCCGCAUUUCAGAAUUGAUUCUUGGCCUGGUACUCUAUUUACAGAUUAGAGGCAGUCAAUACUUGAAUGAAUGAGUGGAUGAAUGCUUCCCCUCUAUGAAAGAAGCUAUGUUCUACUUAACACAGGAAGAAUAGAAACUUUUGAAGCUGUGGAGCUUUCCAGGAAGAUUAUCAGCAACAUCGGAGAGCACCCAUUCCAGGAAUGGCCUGCAGAAGUCAGCCCCACUUUUCCCAUCUGGAAACAUCCCACCCAUCACUGCUUCCCCACCCUCUCUUCAUGCCCUCAGCUGCAGAUAACAUACUAGACAUUCUGCCAUGAAGACUCCGCUGGCCCAUAUGCGAGACUCUCCGUGUUCACAGCUUAUCACAUAAUAUCAUUUCCUGCUCUUCACAAUCUUCCUUUCAAAUGCUUUAAGGCAGUACUUCAUCCUUUUUUCAGACAUCUUCUUAGUGAACCAUGUAAGAUUAGCAUCUCAGUGAAUCUAAAUUCUCUUUUCUGCCCAGGCAAGCACUAGCAUGUGACAUUGGGCAAGUGAUUUAUCCCUUGUAUGCGACGGUGUCCUACUCAGUGAACCAGAGGCAUGUGUGAGAGGCCUUUUUGCAAUAUGGUACUUAGCACCAACAAAUGGAAUAAAAACACCACAAAAGAAUUUGGAAAAUAGAAAUUCACAUGUAAGUGUUCCUAUGAUAAUAAGAUAUGGCUCGUAAUUUUGUUGCCCGUAUUGAAGGAGUGGCCUAGUUUGUUGACCAAGUGGAUUUUAGCAUUUUCUUCAGCUCUGAACACUGACUUUAUUUUGUAGUGUAACGUUAGAAUAAGGUAGACAGUGAGAAGGGGGUUGAAGAAGAGAAGCAGCCAGCAGGUAAUGACUGAAGAAACCUGAAGCAUAUUCUACCUAUCAGGUGUGUUGAUGGUUUUGGCCAAGAAUUCACAUACAAGGAAGCCAGGUACAAAAUACCACAAUUUCUUUAGCUGCAGGCGGAGAGUUUGUGUCAGUUCCUUUUUUCCCGUGCUUUCAUCCAUAUGCAAGCAAGUGAUAACAUGUACUAAGUUAAAUAAUGCAUGGUACUUCAACUAUUCUUACUUUCUAUCCUUUGGUUAUUGUAAUUACAUGUAAUUUUGUGACGGAUUUUGUAUUUUUUAAGAAAUCGCACUUUUGUACCGGAUCCAGCUAACAGGAUUUUCUUACAUUACUUCAUAAAGAGACCAUCUUUUAAACUUCUAAUGUUAUUUCUUAUUCAUUAGUACAUUUGCCUGUGGGGUAUGUUCAUAAAUGGGUUAAAGUUACAAAGUUAUGCUUAUAAAAGCUCAUGGUAAUUUGGAGUAUCAGGA
rnacentral:lncRNA from 1 species